rnacentral:rRNA from 1 species
AGGGCACCACCAGGAGUGGAGCCUGCGGCUUAAUUUGACUCAACACGGGAAAACUUACCUGGUCAGGACACUGGAAGGAUUGACAGAUUGAGAGCUCUUUCUUGAUUCAGUGGGUGGUGGUGCAUGGCUGUUCUUAGUUGGUGGAGCGAUUUGUCUGGUUAAUUCCGAUAACGAACGAGACUCUAGCCUACUAAAUAGACUGCUCAACUUUAUAGCUGCAUCACCGUGCAGGUUCUUCGGGGCUUGUACGGCUGUGGUGACGUUGGCAGUGCUUCUUAGAGGGACAGGCGGCGGUUCAGCCGCACGAAACAGAGCAAUAACAGGUCUGUGAUGCCCUUAGAUGUCCAGGGCCGCACGCGCGCUACACUGAAGUGAUCAGCGUGCAAUUAACGUUUCCUACUCCGUCAGGAGUGGGUAACCCGUUGAACCUUCUUCGUGAUUGGGAUAGGGGAUUGUAAUUAUUCCCCUUGAACGAGGAAUUCCCAGUAAGCGCAAGUCAUAAGCUUGCGUUGAUUACGU